rnacentral:rRNA from 1 species
CCCUUAGAUGUUCUGGGUCGCACGCGUGCUACACUGAGUGGAUCAGCGGGUCAGGUUGCGCGAAAGUGUUUCCUAAUCUUGAAAUCCGCUCGUGAUGGGGAUUGACGGUUGCAAUUUUCCGUCAUGAACGAGGAAUACCUUGUAAGCGCGGGUCAUCAUCCCGCGCUGAAUACGUCCCUGCCCUUUGUACACACCGCCCGUCGCUCCUACCGAUUGAGUGGUCCGGUGAGGCUUUGGGAUCUGAGCAAAGAGAGCGUUUCGCUCGUUUUGCCCGGAAAACUCAGUCGAACCUUAUCAUUUAGAGGAAGGAGAAGUCGUAACA